rnacentral:tRNA from 1 species
GGUAUUGUAGCUCAGUGGUAGAAUGCUUGCCUCCCAUGCGAGGCCCUGGGUUUGAUCCUCAGCAACACACA